GCUCUGCUGGGGUCUUCCCAUAGUUGUUCAUUACCUAGUAAGACUUCCCAGUCACUGUUUCCUAAUCUACAAAUAUGAGGAAAAAUCUUAUUUGGAACAACAAGAAAUGUUGCACCUUGUUCUCCUGUUUAUUGACAUGGACCUACAAAGAUAUCUGUGCCUUAAUCAGUGCAAACAUAACACUAUAGUUACUUUAUUCAGAGAAGAUGAGUUCACAAGCAGAACCAGAGAAGGUAAAGGCAAAAUACAUCAUAGGAAGG